GGUUAAGCGACUAAGCGUACACGGUGGAUGCCCUGGCAGUCAGAGGCGAUGAAGGACGUGCUAAUCUGCGAAAAGCGUCGGUAAGGUGAUAUGAACCGUUAUAACCGGCGAUGUCCGAAUGGGGAAACCCAGUGUGAUUCGUCACACUAUCGUUAACUGAAUACAUAGGUUAACGAGGCGAACCGGGGGAACUGAAACAUCUAAGUACCCCGAGGAAAAGAAAUCAACCGAGAUUCCCCCAGUAGCGGCGAGCGAACGGGGAGCAGCCCAGAGUCUGAAUCAGCUUGUGUGUUAGUGGAACGGUCUGGAAAGUCCGACGGUACAGGGUGAUAGUCCCGUACACCAAAAUGCACAGGUUGUGAACUCGAAGAGUAGGGCGGGACACGUGGUAUCCUGUCUGAAUAUGGGGGGACCAUCCUCCAAGGCUAAAUACUCCUGACUGACCGAUAGUGAACCAGUACCGUGAGGGAAAGGCGAAAAGAACCCCGGCGAGGGGAGUGAAAAAGAACCUGAAACCGUGUACGUACAAGCAGUGGGAGCACCUUCGGGUGUGACUGCGUACCUUUUGUAUAAUGGGUCAGCGACUUAUAUUCUGUAGCAAGGUUAACCGUAUAGGGGAGCCGCAGGGAAACCGAGUCUUAACUGGGCGUUAAGUUGCAGGGUAUAGACCCGAAACCCGGUGAUCUAGCCAUGGGCAGGUUGAAGGUUGGGUAACACUAACUGGAGGACCGAACCGACUAAUGUUGAAAAAUUAGCGGAUGACUUGUGGCUGGGGGUGAAAGGCCAAUCAAACCGGGAGAUAGCUGGUUCUCCCCGAAAGCUAUUUAGGUAGCGCCUCGUGAACUCAUCUUCGGGGGUAGAGCACUGUUUCGGCUAGGGGGUCAUCCCGACUUACCAACCCGAUGCAAACUACGAAUACCGAAGAAUGUUAUCACGGGAGACACACGGCGGGUGCUAACGUCCGUCGUGAAGAGGGAAACAACCCAGACCGCCAGCUAAGGUCCCAAAGUCAUGGUUAAGUGGGAAACGAUGUGGGAAGGCACAGACAGCCAGGAUGUUGGCUUAGAAGCAGCCAUCAUUUAAAGAAAGCGUAAUAGCUCACUGGUCGAGUCGGCCUGCGCGGAAGAUGUAACGGGGCUAAACCAUGCACCGAAGCUGCGGCAGCGACACUAUGUGUUGUUGGGUAGGGGAGCGUUCUGUAAGCCUGCGAAGGUGUGCUGUGAGGCAUGCUGGAGGUAUCAGAAGUGCGAAUGCUGACAUAAGUAACGAUAAAGCGGGUGAAAAGCCCGCUCGCCGGAAGACCAAGGGUUCCUGUCCAACGUUAAUCGGGGCAGGGUGAGUCGACCCCUAAGGCGAGGCCGAAAGGCGUAGUCGAUGGGAAACAGGUUAAUAUUCCUGUACUUGGUGUUACUGCGAAGGGGGGACGGAGAAGGCUAUGUUAGCCGGGCGACGGUUGUCCCGGUUUAAGCAUGUAGGCUGGUUAUCCAGGCAAAUCCGGAUAA
rnacentral:rRNA from 1 species